GAUGAACGCUGGCGGCGUGCUUAACACAUGCAAGUCGAACGAAGCACUUUAUUUGAUUUCCUUCGGGACUGAUUAUUUUGUGACUGAGUGGCGGACGGGUGAGUAACGCGUGGGUAACCUGCCUUUUACAGGGGGAUAACAGUUGGAAACGGCUGCUAAUACCGCAUAAGCGCACGGCAUCGCAUGAUGCAGUGUGAAAAACUCCGGUGGUAUAAGAUGGACCCGCGUUGGAUUAGCUAGUUGGUGAGGUAACGGCCCACCAAGGCGACGAUCCAUAGCCGACCUGAGAGGGUGACCGGCCACAUUGGGACUGAGACACGGCCCAAACUCCUACGGGAGGCAGCAGUGGGGAAUAUUGCACAAUGGGCGAAAGCCUGAUGCAGCGACGCCGCGUGAGCGAAGAAGUAUUUCGGUAUGUAAAGCUCUAUCAGCAGGGAAGAUAAUGACGGUACCUGACUAAGAAGCACCGGCUAAAUACGU
rnacentral:rRNA from 1 species